GAGGUAGCAAAUAUUAGGUUACCUUUUUUUUGGUGGGAAGAGGGGCAUGUUGGGAAAAAGAAGACUGUCCUUUAGUGGGAGAAGCCAUAUUUUAAUAUGGCAUUUUUGGGAAGGAGGCUAUUCCAUGUGGCAGCCAUCUUAAGGCAUGGGAAAUCUAACAGAAACAAGUUAUAAGCUAUGAAGCAAAAGGGCCAAAGCUUACCAGUCCAGCAUGGCACCAUGAAGCUACGUCUCCAGCUAGUUGAAAUUUUGAAAGAGGAAAAAGAGAUAAAAACAAAGGU
rnacentral:lncRNA from 1 species